GGACGAACGCUGGCGGCGUGCCUAAUACAUGCAAGUCGAACGAACGGAGGAAGAGCUUGCUCUUCCAAAGUUAGUGGCGGACGGGUGAGUAACACGUGGGCAACCUGCCUGUAAGUUGGGGAUAACUCCGGGAAACCGGGGCUAAUACCGAAUAAUAAGUGGUGGCGCAUGCCACGGCUUUGAAAGAUGGUUUCGGCUAUCGCUUACAGAUGGGCCCGCGGUGCAUUAGCUAGUUGGUAGGGUAAUGGCCUACCAAGGCAACGAUGCAUAGCCGACCUGAGAGGGUGAUCGGCCACACUGGGACUGAGACACGGCCCAGACUCCUACGGGAGGCAGCAGUAGGGAAUCUUCCGCAAUGGACGAAAGUCUGACGGAGCAACGCCGCGUGUAUGAAGAAGGUUUUCGGAUCGUAAAGUACUGUUGUUAGAGAAGAACAAG
rnacentral:rRNA from 1 species